rnacentral:hammerhead_ribozyme from 1 species
GUCCAGAUGACGAGUCCAAAAUAGGACGAAAAGUGCUUCCUGAAU